rnacentral:rRNA from 1 species
UGGGGAAUAUUGCACAAUGGGCGGAAGCCUGAUGCAGCGACGCCGCGUGAGGGAUGACGGCCUUCGGGUUGUAAACCUCUUUCAGCAGGGACGAAGCGUGAGUGACGGUACCUGCAGAAGAAGCGCCGGCCAACUACGUGCCAGCAGCCGCGGUAAGACGUAGGGCGCGAGCGUUGUCCGGAUUUAUUGGGCGUAAAGAGCUCGUAGGCGGCUUGUUGCGUCGACCGUGAAAACCCGGGGCUCAACUUCGGGCUUGCGGUCGAUACGGGCGGGCUAGAGUUCGGUAGGGGAGACUGGAAUUCCUGGUGUAGCGGUGAAAUGCGCAGAUAUCAGGAGGAACACCGGUGGCGAAGGCGGGUCUCUGGGCCGAUACUGACGCUGAGGAGCGAAAGCGUGGGGAGCGAACA